rfam:Oryza glaberrima chromosome 8 Oglab08_0174_13, whole genome shotgun sequence.
UCUAAGUGUAACCAUGAAUUUUCGUGCCCAACUUCAAUUGUCCGUCUUUUUUAUUUUUUUUAUAAUUAGUAUUUUUGUUGUUAUAAGAUGAUAAAACAUGAAUAGUACUUUACUCGUGACUUAUGUUUUUAAUUUUUUUCAAAAUUUUUUUAAAUAAGACGAACGAUCAAAGUUGAGCGCGGAAAACCAUGGCUGCACUUAAA